rnacentral:rRNA from 1 species
GACGAAUGCUGGUGGCGUGCCUAGUAUAUGCAAGUUGAACGCACAGUUUAUACCGUAGCUUGCUACACCAUAGACUGUGAGUUGCGAACGGGUGAGUAACGCGUGGGUAACCUGCCUGGUAGCGGCGGAUAACUAUUGGAAACGAUAGCUAAUACCGCAUCAUAUUGAUUAUUGCAUGAUAAUUGAUUGAAAGCUGCUAUUGCAUCACUACCAGAUGGACUUGCGUUUUAUUAGCUAGUAGGUGAGGUAACGGCUCACCUAGGCGACGCUACAUAGCCGACCGCAGAGGGCGAUAGGCCACACUGAGACUGAGACACGGCCCAGACGCCUACGGGAGGCAGCAGUAGGGAAUCUUCGGCAAUGGACGACAGUCUGACCGAGCAACGCCGCGUCAGUGAAGAAGGUUUUAGGAUCAUAAAGCUCUGUUGUAAGACAAGAACGGGUGUGAGCAUGGAAAGUUCACACUGUGACGAUAGCUUACCAGAAAGGGGCGGCUAGAUACGAC